UAUACCGUGAAACUGCGAAUGGCUCAUUAAAUCAGUUAUCGUUUAUUUGAUAAUACCUUACUACUUGGAUAACCGUGGUAAUUCUAGAGCUAAUACAUGCUGAAAAUCCCGACUUCGGAAGGGAUGUGUUUAUUAGAUAAAAAACCAAUGCCCUUCGGGGCUCUUUGGUGAUUCAUGAUAACUUUACGGAUCGCAUAGCCUUGCGCUGGCGACGGUUCAUUCAAAUUUCUGCCCUAUCAACUUUCGAUGGUAAGGUAUUGGCUUACCAUGGUUUCAACGGGUAACGGGGAAUUAGGGUUCGAUUCCGGAGAGGGAGCCUGAGAAACGGCUACCACAUCCAAGGAAGGCAGCAGGCGCGCAAAUUAUCCAAUCCCGACACGGGGAGAUAGUGACAAUAAAUACUGAUACAGGGCUCUUUUGGGUCUUGUAAUUGGAAUGAGUACAAUUUAAACCUCUUAACGAGGAACAAUUGGAGGGCAAGUCUGGUGCCAGCAGCCGCGGUAAUUCCAGCUCCAAUAGCGUAUAUUAAAGUUGUUGCAGUUAAAAAGCUCGUAGUUGAAACUUGGGCCUGGCUGGCGGGUCCGCCUCACCGCGUGCACUCGUCCGGCCGGGCCUUCCUUCUGAAGAACCUCAUGCCCUUCACUGGGCGUGUUGGGGAAUCAGGACUUUUACUUUGAAAAAAUUAGAGUGUUCAAAGCAGGCCUUUGCUCGAAUACGUUAGCAUGGAAUAAUAAAAUAGGGCGUGCGUUUCUAUUUUGUUGGUUUCUAGAGACGCCGCAAUGAUUAACAGGAACAGUCGGGGGCAUCAGUAUUCAGUUGUCAGAGGUGAAAUUCUUGGAUUUACUGAAGACUAACUACUGCGAAAGCAUUUGCCAAGGAUGUUUUCAUUAAUCAGUGAACGAAAGUUAGGGGAUCGAAGACGAUCAGAUACCGUCGUAGUCUUAACCGUAAACUAUGCCGACUAGGGAUCGGGCGAUGUUCUUUUUCUGACUCGCUCGGCACCUUACGAGAAAUCAAAGU
rnacentral:rRNA from 3 species